ACAGCCUGUUGAGGGGCCAUUGUUUUCUAAGAAUUCUUUUGGCCUCUCAGUGAUCCAUUUUUCUUCCUGAUCUCCAUGAUUUCUACUGACAUAAUGAGGAAAGGAAUCUGGCCCGAAGGUCAUUCUCUCUGCAAGCACACUAAUGGCCAGAGGAAGGCAAGUCAAUGAAAGGCUGCUUCUAGAAUAUCUGCCUCAAGGUUGCAGAUAUUAACACUAUUAACAGGAGGGAAGCUUGGAGCUUAAAUGAGGAGCUUUAGCAGUAGUAAACUGCUUCAGAAAUAAAUUAGCUAUUGUUUGGAUGUUGGAAUAAGACCAAGAGAGGAGUUUCAGUGAUGCCUUCGUCACUGCGCAUGUAGCAGAUGGUGUCUCCAUUAGCAAAGAGGGGAUUUAGCAGAAAAGAAGCUCAAAGACAGAGAAGAACUGUUAGGUCUUGGAGCCGCUCUGAGACAUCCAAAUGUUGCCGUGGAAGAUCUUCUGUUGUCCUCUUGUGUGGCAAGUACAUUGUGAAAGAGAAUUACAGCUUUGCUUUAAUCCAUAAAAACUCUCCCACAAAUGGGCCAGUCCUGAUGAUUUAGGACUGCAAAUUGCAAGUGAUGAGUGCUGUACUCCCUCACAUCGGAUCACUCCUACCCAGAGAACCAGCUAUGCUUGGUUCUGUCCAGCUUUCUCUGCAAGAGAAGAAACUUUCCACGCUGCUGCCAUCCAAGCCUGCAAAGAAGCAAGAGCUUCUCACCACCCACCAUUCCAAUGUCUGGCAUC